GUCCACGCCGUAAACGAUGUCAACUAGUUGUUGGGUUCCUUGAGGACUUAGUAACGCAGCUAACGCAUUAAGUUGACCGCCUGGGGAGUACGGCCGCAAGGUUAAAACUCAAAUGAAUUGACGGGGGCCCGCACAAGCGGUGGAGCAUGUGGUUUAAUUCGAAGCAACGCGAAGAACCUUACCUGGCCUUGACAUGCUGAGAACUUUCUAGAGAUAGAUUGGUGCCUUCGGGAACUCAGACACAGGUGCUGCAUGGCU
rnacentral:rRNA from 1 species